UACGGAGGGGGCUAGCGUUGUUCGGAAUUACUGGGCGUAAAGCGCACGUAGGCGGCUUUGUAAGUUAGAGGUGAAAGCCCGGGGCUCAACUCCGGAAUUGCCUUUAAGACUGCAUCGCUCGAAUUGUGGAGAGGUAAGUGGAAUUCCGAGUGUAGAGGUGAAAUUCGUAGAUAUUCGGAAGAACUCCAGUGGCGAAGGCGACUUACUGGACACAUAUUGACGCUGAGGUGCGAAAGCGUGGGGAGCAAACAGG
rnacentral:rRNA from 1 species